rnacentral:lncRNA from 1 species
AGAUAGAAUCUCACUAUGUUGACCAGGCUGGUCUUGAACUCUUGGCACCCAAGCGAUCCUUUUGCCUGGAAUCCCAAAGUGUCAGAUUUACUGAAGAAUAUUUCAUUGUAAUUACUUUUUAUACUUUAUAGGUCAAGAGCUCUGUUUUAAAGACAAAAUUUAUUGAAUAUACUUUUUCAAACAAAGUUUCAUGUUCUAAUCAUUGUAUGAUUUCAGCAUUAAAUGAAACACAGUAAAGAAA